GAUGAACGCUAGCGGGAGGCUUAACACAUGCAAGUCGAACGGGAUUAGCAGCAAUGCUAUGAGAGCGGCGCACGGGUGCGUAACGAGUAUGAACCCUGCCGUAUACAGGGGAAUAGCCCAUGGAAACGUGGAUUAAUUUAUCAUAGGAAUACGGUAACGCAUGGUAUUGUGAUUGAAACUGAUGUGGUAUAAGAUGGGCAUGCGUCUGAUUAUGUAUUUGGUGAGGUAAUGGCUCACCAAGCCGACGAUCAGUAGGGGUUCUGAGAUGAUUACCCCCCACACUGGUACUGAGACACGGACCAGACUCCUACGGGAGACAGCAGUGAGGAAUAUUGGUCAAUGGCCGGAAGGCUGAACCAGCCAUCCCGCGUGCAGGAUGACGGCCCUAUGGGUUGUAAACUGCUUUUGUACCUGAAGAAACCUUGUUACGUGUAACCAGUUGCCGGUAAGGUAUGAAUAAGCAUCGGCUAACUCCGUGCCAGCCGCCGCUGUAA
rnacentral:rRNA from 1 species